UACGAAGGGGGCUAGCGUUGCUCGGAAUCACUGGGCGUAAAGGGUGCGUAGGCGGGGCUUUAAGUCAGGGGUGAAAUCCUGGAGCUCAACUCCAGAACUGCCUUUGAUACUGAAGAUCUUGAGUUCGGGAGAGGUGAGUGGAACUGCGAGUGUAGAGGUGAAAUUCGUAGAUAUUCGCAAGAACACCAGUGGCGAAGGCGGCUCACUGGCCCGAUACUGACGCUGAGGAGCGAAAGCGUGGGGAGCGAACAGG
rnacentral:rRNA from 1 species